GGCGAACGCUGGCGGCGUGCUUAACACAUGCAAGUCGAACGGUGAAGCGCCUUCCUUUUUGGUGGGUGUGGAUGAGUGGCGAACGGGUGAGUAACACGUGAGUAACCUGCCCCCUUCUUCUGGAUAACCGCAUGAAAGUGUGGCUAAUACGGGAUAUUCUGGGUCUGUCGCAUGAUGGGUCUGGGAAAGAUAUUGUUUCGGUGGGGGAUGGGCUCGCGGCCUAUCAGCUUGUUGGUGGGGUGAUGGCCUACCAAGGCGGUGACGGGUAGCCGGCCUGAGAGGGUGGACGGGCACACUGGGACUGAGACACGGCCCAGACUCCUACGGGAGGCAGCAGUGGGGAAUAUUGCACAAUGGGCGCAAGCCUGAUGCAGCGACGCCGCGUGAGGGAUGGAGGCCUUCGGGUUGUGAACCUCUUUCGCCAGUGAAGCAGGCCUGCCUCGUUUGUGGGUGGGUUGACGGUAGCUGGAUAAGAAGCGCCGGCUAACUACGUG
rnacentral:rRNA from 1 species